rnacentral:rRNA from 1 species
CCUACGGGUGGCAGCAGUGGGGAAUAUUGGACAAUGGGCGAAAGCCUGAUCCAGCCAUGCCGCGUGUGUGAAGAAGGCCUUCGGGUUGUAAAGCACUUUCAGUGGGGAAGAAAGCCUUGGGGCUAAUACCCUCGAGGAAGGACAUCACCCACAGAAGAAGCACCGGCUAACUCCGUGCCAGCAGCCGCGGUAAUACGGAGGGUGCGAGCGUUAAUCGGAAUUACUGGGCGUAAAGCGCGCGUAGGCGGUCUGAUAAGCCGGUUGUGAAAGCCCCGGGCUCAACCUGGGAACGGCAUCCGGAACUGUCAGGCUAGAGUGCAGGAGAGGAAGGUAGAAUUCCCGGUGUAGCGGUGAAAUGCGUAGAGAUCGGAGGAAUACCAGUGGCGAAGGCGGCCUUCUGGACUGACACUGACGCUGAGGUGCGAAAGCGUGGGUAGCAAACAGGAUUAGAUACCCGGGUAGUC